GACGAAGGCGGCGAGCGUCACUCGGAAUUACUAGGCGUAAAGCGUGGGCAGGCGGUUCGGCAAGUCUGUUGUGAAAGCUCCCGGCUUAACCGGGAGAGGCCAAUGGAUACUACCGGACUUGAAUGUGGGAGAGGUCACUGGAAUUCCCGGUGUAGCGGUGAAAUGCGUAGAGAUCGGGAGGAACACCAAUGGCGAAAGCAGGUGACUGGACCACUAUUGACGCUCAUCCACGAAAGCUAGGGGAGCAAACAGG
rnacentral:rRNA from 1 species